CCCAGCCUACGGGGGGCAGCAGUGGGGGAUAUUGCACAAUGGGGGGAACCCUGAUGCAGCGACGCCGCGUGGGUGAAGGAGCGUUUCGGCGCGUAAAGCCCUAUCGGCAGGGAAGAAGGAGGACGGUACCUGACUAAGAAGCCCCGGCUAACUACGUGCCAGCAGCCGCGGGAAUACGUAGGGGGCAAGCGUUAUCCGGAAUUACUGGGUGUAAAGGGAGCGUAGGCGGGAGAGCAAGUCGACUGUGAAAUCUAUGGGCUUAACCCAUAGCUGCGAUCGAAACUGUU
rnacentral:rRNA from 1 species